rnacentral:rRNA from 1 species
AAAACAUGUCCUUUAGUAUUAAUUAUUUAAGGUUUGCCCUGCCCAAUGAUUUAUUUAAUGGCCGCAGUAUAUUAACUGUGCUAAGGUAGCAUAAUAAAUUGUCUUUUAAUUGAAGGCUGGAAUGAAGGGGUGAAUGAGAUAUCAGCUUUCUUUUUAUUAAUCUUUUUAAUUUAAUUUAUUAGUCAAAAAGCUAAUAUGUUAUUAGAGGACGAGAAGACCCUAUAGAUCUUUAUAUUUAAUUUUUAAAUUUUAUUUAUAUAAUUUUUAUAUUUUAUAUUAAUUAAAUAUUUAAUUGGGGUGAUUUUAGAAUUUUUUUAACUACUAUCUAUUUUUCAUUGAUGGAUGUUUAAUUGAGCCAAUUUUAUUGAUUGGAAGAUUAAGUUACCUUAGGGAUAACAGCGUAAUUUCUUUGGAGAGUUCAUAUCAAUAAGGGAGUUUGCGACCUCGAUGUUGGAUUAAAAUUAGUAGUGGGUGCAACAAUUUACUAACUAGGUCUGUUCGACCUUUAAAGUUUUACAUGAUCU